AAUGAAAGAGCGAAAGGAAAAAAAAGGAAAUCGUGACACAUAUCCUGUAAAUCUUUCGCUCUUUUAUAAACGCAGGAUUUAAGGGAUACGCUAAACUCGUAAUUGUUGAGUAUUACGCAAUGUUAUAAGAAUCCAACGGAAAGUUUGACCGUUUGAAUAAAGCCAUAAAAAUUGUUUGUUUUUAUCAGAAAAACCAAUAUAUUGCAAGAAUGCCAUAAAAAAUAGCAAAAUAAUUUAACAAAGGGAAAAUAGCUGCACAGAUUCGCGUAGGGGGAGAGAGAAAGUGUGUGAAUGCAAAAUCACAUGGCCUCGUUGUCACUGGGACCUCAGCCGCAUCAGCAUAAUCCACCGUCCGACCAUCAAUAUCAUCAUCAUCAUGCUCCGCCGCCAGCUGCCGCUGCUCACAUGGACGCCGAUAAGGUACCUUGCUUAUACAUACAUUUACAUGGUGAUUUUCUUGUCCUUUGCUGCCGCAUUCUGUUUCCUACGUGAAAAUCGAGCUGGGUUCCUCUUGGCUUACCUUGAUCUAGCUGAGAAGCUUCAGUUUUUGCUCGAUCUUUGCUUUUAAUGCUUUGACGAGGAUUAGAAGUGGUUGCCGCGGGUAUAUUCGUCGAAUUUUUGGGCGAUCUGGGAGUUUGUACUGUUCUGUUGGCGUUUCUACUUCUAGCUAGGUUUUGAAGUUUUCAGCCGGAUUUUGGAGAUGUUUUCUUUUCUUGCUUUAAUUUCUGGGCUAAAUGAUUCUGUGAAUAUUUUAAUUAUGAUUUUUUCUUUUCUUUCUUACAAUUUCUGGGAUUCUUUACUACUUCAUCCAUUUUGUGAAUAUUUUCACCUGUCGAGGUACCUUAUCUUUUUGUAAGGUUUAACAUAUAUUUAUCUUUCCUUUUUCAGAAUUCUUUGAUUUUUCUUUCUUUUUAUCUGUGUUAUAUUUACGUGCAACGUUUUUACAAAUAUGGUUAUUCUUUUCCCGCUAUUGUUAGAUCUGCAACGUUCUAUAUGGCUCAUUUUUAUGUUAACAUGAUUUUUCUUUAAAUUAGUUUUUAACUAACGUAAUUUGUUUUUUAAAGUUGCUUACUUCCUUAGGUAAAGUGUUUAGCUGCUUUUGAUUAACUUUAGAUGAAUCAUGCUUGAAUCUGAUGAAUUGGGGUUUGCUUCAAGUGGUUGGCUGACGGUCGAUUCUCCUUAAACUAUUGCAGUCAGCUUGUUUGAAUUGCAAGUUGUCUGGCAUGUGAUGCUUUCUUGGAAGCCCUAGAUUUUGCCAAACAUUGCUUCUUCUUCUUCAUUUUUUUUCUCGUUUGUGUGUUCCAAACAGAACAUAUCCUUUUGAGCCUUGUGCUUUUGGGUUCCCAAUUCACAUUUCACCAGGCAUUUUAUGGUUUUAUAGCUGAGUGUGGCUGAUAAUAUGGUACUGCUCACAUGAGGUUUUGGGAGCUAGGUUGGUUGUUCUUAGUGGUUUCCAUCUUUGUUUAUGUCUGAUGCUUUGGCUUGUUUUACAAUGCAGGAGAUGCCAGCUUCUGCAGUUGAUGUGAAUGAUCCAAUAACUAGCCACAUUAUAUCAACUACAAUUGGAGGCAAAAAUGGAGAGCCCAAAAGGGUUGGUGUUUGAGCUUCAUCUUUCAAGUCCCAUAGACCUUGUCUAUUGAGUGUUACAAAUGUUUUAGAAGUAGUUAGAGGAACUUUGAAAUGUUUUACUUAAUGAGAUUUAUGCACAAUUAGGGUUACUUCUGUGGGCUAUCUAGUUGGUCAGAGGUAAGAGGUUUUCUUGUGGUUCUUUUUGCAGACGAUUAGUUACAUGGCAGAGCGUGUUGUGGGCACAGGAUCAUUUGGAAUAGUUUUUCAGGUCUGUUGUCCUAAUAUAAUAUGAAUGCUUAUCAUUUCUCCUCUGUCCUCUUAAUUAAUGAGUUUUAGUCACUCUUCACUAGGCAAAAUGCUUGGAAACAGGAGAGGCAGUAGCCAUAAAGAAGGUUUUGCAGGAUAAGCGCUAUAAAAAUCGUGAACUGCAGUUAAUGCGCUUGAUGAAUCAUUCAAAUGUGAUAUCUCUGAAGCACUGUUUCUUUUCUACAACAAGCCGGGAUGAACUUUUCCUUAAUCUGGUCAUGGAUUAUGUCCCUGAGACCAUGUACAACGUUUUAAAGCAUUACAGCAGUUCAAAUCAAAGGAUGCCUCUCAUAUAUGUCAAACUCUACACAUAUCAGGUUUCAAUCAACAUGUUCUGUUUUUUCCGGGUAACUUCUCUAUGAUUCUAUUAUAUCUAAUUCAGAUAUAAUUAUGCACAUAUUUUUCAGUUAUUUAGGGGGCUUGCAUAUAUCCAUACAGUUCCCAGGGUAUGCCAUAGAGAUAUAAAACCUCAAAAUGUUUUGGUAAGUUUCCUCAAGUCUCCUCUUUCCUGCUGGCAACCCAAGUCCCCCACCUGUCAGAUUGUGUUGGACCAUUUGCUACUUUAUGUUGAAGUAAUCGUAUGUGUGGCCUGCAGGUUGAUCCUCUUACCCACCAGGUCAAGAUUUGUGACUUCGGAAGUGCUAAAGUUCUUGUAAGUUCAUUGUCUUUCUAGUUAGUCACAUAAAUUCCCAUAAUCAUUAUGUUGAGGCAUCUUUGAAGUGCUUCUAUACAUGUUUUGUGUGAAUAUUCAUAUGUGAAUUAUGGAAUGUAUAUGGAGCCUAAUAUACUCUACACUUUUCCUGUUGGCAAAAUUUUGAAGUGUUAUACCGGUACUUUGGAAAAUUCACAAAUAUAUUAGGUUGCUUUUUCUUCCUAUAUUAAGGUAUUAGGAGGAGCCUCCACACUGCGUAUGGGGAGGGGGGGAUGCGAUUCCAAAAUACGUUGUAAUUAUUUUAUUUUAUAUAGUGCAACUUUGCACUGCACAUGGUGUAGCAGUUCUGAAAUUAAGGGCGAAACAAGUUAAAUCGCAUGUUAUUUUUGCUUUCGUUUUUCUUAUUUAGUAUUAUUAAUUGCUCUCUAAAAUCAGAUUAUUUGUUUAAUCCAUACAUGAAUGACAUCGUCAUCAGAUUUUAUCUUAUGGUACAUUUCAAAUACCAGCUGGAGAGGAAUAUAAAAUUCUAUCCAAGAAAACCAACAAAGAAUGACCGUCUUAUAAGAAACAUUUUGCCAGGUUGUUUUACAGUUUUCAGGGCUAAAAGAAUUAUAAAUCAUAUGAUCGUAUAAACAUUUCUUGUGUCGAAGACUAGGAAGACGAAUAAUCCCUUCUAGAAUUAUUUGCUCCCUGCUUACUUUGAAUAAACAAAGAGAAGGUAGAAUAAUAGGGAAGAUGUGUACAAUGUUGGUUGGAGGAGAAGAAAAAAGGUGCUUGGAGAAUUCCUAUUAUGUUUGGUUUAUUACACCCAUUAUGCCUUAGACGGAAUGCUCCCAUUGUAAUUAGAAGGGAUGGUGUUGUAUUCCAUGGAGAGAGGUUUACUAAUUGUUGAGUGUGUUAGUUUUAGGUGAACGUUUAUUUCCAUAGGCACUCCAAGGUUGUAUUGAUACUUCUAUCUGCAGGAAAAGGCGGGGGCAUAGCCCUAUAUUUUAUUGUCUUCAUUGUUAUCUACAAUUUGACAUAAAUAUUGAUUUUCAUUAUCAUUGAUUUAUAUGAUUUUUAAUAUUAAAAACAUAACUUAUGGUUCAAGGAUUUUUUUUUUAAUUUUUAUAAUUCUCUAUGAAUUAUCACUUGUGCAUUUAAAAUUUGUUAUAAUCAGGUGGAGGGUGAAGCUAAUAUAUCCUAUAUAUGCUCUCGUUAUUAUCGAGCCCCAGAACUCAUAUUUGGUGCAACAGAAUAUACAACAGCAAUUGAUAUCUGGUCCGCUGGUUGCGUCCUCGCUGAGCUUCUAUUGGGGCAGGUUUGGAACGUACAUGUUAAGGCAUCUUGCUGAGUAAUAUUUUAGUCUUCUAUCACAUUUUCCUUACUUUUUCACUAUGUUCUUUUUGGUGGGGAGGCAGCCUCUUUUCCCUGGAGGAAAUGCUGUCGAUCAACUUGUAGAGAUAAUCAAGGUGAGCCCUUCUCUAUAUUGCAUUUCUAUGGAAUCUAAAUACUGGUGUUUUUGUUGUCCCUUUUACUAACUGCAAGACUUUCUCAAGUAGGUUCUUGGUACUCCAACUCGAGAAGAAAUUCGAUGUAUGAAUCCAAGUUAUACCGAUUUCAGGUUUCCCCAGAUUAAAGCUCAUCCAUGGCACAAGGUAUGACUGCAGUUAUACAUGCAAUUUUCUCAGUGGUUUACACCAAAAUAUUCAGUUAAAAAGUAGAUGAUAUUUUGGUGCAGGUUUUUCACAAGCGGAUGCCUCCUGAAGCCAUUGAUCUUGCUUCUCGCUUGCUUCAUUACUCUCCAAGUCUUCGCUGCACGGCUGUAUGUUUAAUUUGAAGUCACUCUUGUGAAGUUCUAUUGAAAAUCUGCCUUCACAAGCAUAUAGACUUGCUUUUUAUCAAUUUAUGGAGAUGAUUGAACUAUCCUUCCCCCCCCCCCCCCCACACCCACAGAAGAACGAAAAAAAAAGUUAAAUGAACUGUUGACCAUUUUAUGUAUUAAUUAAUUUUCUUUUACAAUAAUUGUUAAUAAAAUCUAAGGAAUUGUUGUUCUGUCUCUGCAGCUAGAAGCAUGUGCCCAUCCUUUCUUUGAUGAGCUUCGGGUGCCCAAUGCCCGCCUCCCAAAUGGCCGUCCUUUCCCCCCUCUCUUUGACUUUAAACAGGAAGUAUGUUUUCAAACUAUUCUCAUUGACUUCUGUAAUAAUAUUACUAUUUUCCUGGCUCUUCCCGAUAUCGAGAAAAUUUCUGAUGGUCAUUGCAUUUCAUUAUGUAAGUGCCUAAAGUUACUGUAUUCUGUCAUAUCAAUAAAAGUGAGCAGGCAUGCCCCAGCUUCCUUAAGAUUUGUUGAGCGGCUUGAAAGUAUUCACUCCAUUUACUUUUGUUAGAGGGGAUUUGUGUGGCCUUCAUCAAUUUUGAACACAGAUCUAUCUCCAUACAAAAUUGAUGAAAGUUUCUUGCUUACUGACAACUUCCCGUUGAUAAGGGAGAGAGAAUGGGUCCACUCUCAUGUUUGCUUGAUAGCAGAAUCCAAAUAUUUUUGAAGUUACAUGUUUAUUGUGGAGAAGGGCAAAUAUAUAUAUACACUCUCAUCAAACAGUGCAAAAGCAUAAGGCUGACAAUCAAAAGGUUAAUACAAUAAAAAGCAGAGAUAGAAGAUGACUACUUGGUGCAUCCUAUCAUCUUGCUAGUGUUUUUUUGUUGAUAUAACUUUUUGGUUGUCACUAGAGUAUUAUGGUUAAACUUAAUUUUAUUUUAUUAAAAAAUCAGACUAUUUGUAAAUUCCGGAACAAAAUCUUAUAACAGAAGGACAAUUAAUUUUUUUUAAAGGGAUCAUGAACAUUCUAGAUCUUUGGUUUCUUUUGUUGCUAUCCCUCUCUUCUAAUAAUUUAUUGACAUUAUGUAUUAAGUAGAUUCUGUAUUGAACUUUUAUUUUCUGACACAAUUACAAUAGUGAGCAAAUAUUUUCAUUUGUCUAUUUGCCUACUUGAAAUGGGUCCUUGGAUUUCAUGAUCAACUCAUGCUUAUUUCAGUUACUGUUCUUUUGCACAGUCUUGUCACAUUUAUGAGUUUUCUCCUAGCUCAAUCAGUUUAUAUUUUACCUCUGUAGCCAUGCAGUUGUUAAUUGUUUAGCAUCAAAUUCUCCUUGUUACAGUUGGCUGGAGCAUCACCGGAGUUGAUAAACAGGUUAAUACCAGAGCAUGUUCGAAGACAAGCUAGCUUGAGUUUUCCCCAUCCUGGUGCAACAUGAUUAGUGGGGUUACAUAAUCAUCUGUUCAUUUAGUUGAAGGAUAUGUACCAAAUUGCUUAAUAUCAUCAAGCGUUUUGGCCCAAGUCGAUAGUUUUUGACGCCCCAAAAAUGAUGUAUGCACAUUGUGGCUGUUCUGGUUAAUUAGAAAGUUGCUGAGUUCUAUCUGGUAUGUCCUCUUAGCUACAAAAAGUUCCAUCGUUAUUGUAUAUUGUAUUGUUUUGAUUUUGAUCGAGAUUUUGAAACUUAGGCAUUCAAACGAUCGAACUACUUUCAAAUUGUGUAGUUUUUGUUUGUCACUUCACUUCUGAUGAGUUUCUUUUACAUACUAAUUUCCAGAUUCUUAAAGCCCUAUUGAGAUUACUAUUCCUUCCCUCCAUAUUCUUGUGACAUAUUACUAAUUUUUCAGAUUAAUACUAGUUUGAGACGGCGGUCGAGCCAGUUGUAACUGUUGUCAUCUGAUGAUCGAUCAUAUAUCAUAACAGUUAUCAUAUAGCAUGAGAAUUAUGUUGAGAGAUAUGACUUUUUUGCUAUAAU
rnacentral:lncRNA from 1 species